rnacentral:lncRNA from 1 species
UUUCUAAACACUCUAAUCACUUCCAAAUCACUCAAAAACGCAGCUGAGUUCUGAAGUCCGGACAGAUUGCUACCUCUUCACUAAAAAGGACUUGGUGUUCCAACUUCCUAAUCAACCAACUCACUCGCGGAAUCAAGUAGAAGACUUGCAAAACCGUGAGUAUACUCGCAACCCCCUUUUUAUGUUUACUACUUUUUGGGGUGUUGAUGAUGACGAUGCUAUGAAAAGAAGUAGCGUUGAUGCCUAGAUACACAUAUAGACGUUUAGGUUUAAUAUGUUGUAUCAAUUUUGAUUAUGUUGUUACGUAUUUCCUUUGAACAUGUUGUUAUUUGAAUUUCCUUAUAUGUUUGACAAUCUAUCUAUGAAAUGAAAUCGGUUUAUUAAAUAUUGUC